AAUAUUGGACAAUGGGCGAAAGCCUGAUCCAGCCAUGCCGCGUGUGUGAAGAAGGUCUUCGGAUUGUAAGGCACUUUAAGUUGGGAGGAAGGGCAGUAAGUUAAUACCUUGCUGUUUUGCCGUUACUGACAGAAUAAGCACCGGCUAACUCUGUGCCAGCAGCCGCGGUAAUACAGAUGGUGCAAGCGUUAAUCGGAAUUACUGGGCGUAAAGCGCUCGUAGGUGGUUCGUUAAGUUGGAUGUGAAAGCCCCGGCAUCAACCUGGGAACUGCAUCCAAAACUGGCGAGCUAGAGUAUGGUAGAGGGUGGUGGAAUUUCCUGUGUAGCGGUGAAAUGCGUAGAUAGAGGAAGGAACACCAGUGGCGAAGGCGACCACCUGGACUGAUACUGACACUGAGGUGCGAAAGCGUGGGGAGCAAACAG
rnacentral:rRNA from 1 species